rnacentral:rRNA from 1 species
AAGAGUUUGAUCCUGGCUCAGGAUGAACGCUAGCGGCAGGCUUAACACAUGCAAGUCGAGGGGUAACAGGGAUUGCUUGCAAUCCGCUGACGACCGGCGCACGGGUGCGUAACGCGUAUGCAACCUACCUUCUACAGGGGGAUAGUCAAUAGAAAUGUUGAAUAAUACCCCAUACGAUCUUUGAAUAGCAUUAUUUAAAGAAGAAAGCUCCGGCGGUAGAAGAUGGGCAUGCGUCCUAUUAGUUAGUUGGUAAGGUAACGGCUUACCAAGACUUCGAUAGGUAGGGGUCCUGAGAGGGAGACCCCCCACACUGGUACUGAGACACGGACCAGACUCCUACGGGAGGCAGCAGUGAGGAAUAUUGGACAAUGGAGGCAACUCUGAUCCAGCCAUGCCGCGUGCAGGAAGACUGCCCUAUGGGUUGUAAACUGCUUUUAUACAGGAAGAAAUAUACCUACGUGUAGGUAUUUGACGGUACUGUACGAAUAAGGAUCGGCUAACUCCGUGCCAGCAGCCGCGGUAAUACGGAGGAUCCAAGCGUUAUCCGGAAUCAUUGGGUUUAAAGGGUCCGUAGGCGGUCUUUUAAGUCAGAGGUGAAAUCCUACAGCUCAACUGUAGAAUUGCCUUUGAUACUGAAAGACUUGAGUUAUUGUGAAGUAGUUAGAAUGUGUGGUGUAGCGGUGAAAUGCAUAGAGAUCACACAGAAUACCGAUUGCGAAGGCAGAUUACUAACAAUAUACUGACGCUGAGGGACGAAAGCGUGGGUAGCGAACAGGAUUAGAUACCCUGGUAGUCCACGCCGUAAACGAUGGAUACUAGCUGUUCGACCAACAUUGGUUGGUUGAGUGGCUAAGCGAAAGUGAUAAGUAUCCCACCUGGGGAGUACGGUCGCAAGACUGAAACCCAAAGGAAUUGACGGGGGCCCGCACAAGCGGUGGAGCAUGUGGUUUAAUUCGAUGAUACGCGAGGAACCUUACCAGGGCUUAAAUGUAAGUUGCAUGAUUUAGAGAUAGAUCUUUCUUCGGACUACUUACAAGGUGCUGCAUGGUUGUCGUCAGCUCGUGCCGUGAGGUGUCAGGUUAAGUCCUAUAACGAGCGCAACCCCUGUCGUUAGUUGCCAGCAAGUUAAGUUGGGCACUCUAGCGAGACUGCCAGUGCAAACUGUGAGGAAGGUGGGGAUGACGUCAAAUCAUCACGGCCCUUACGUCCUGGGCUACACACGUGCUACAAUGGUCGGUACAGAGAGCAGCCACUACGCGAGUAGGAGCGAAUCUAUAAAACCGAUCUCAGUUCGGAUCGCAGUCUGCAACUCGACUGCGUGAAGCUGGAAUCGCUAGUAAUCGGAUAUCAGCCAUGAUCCGGUGAAUACGUUCCCGGGCCUUGUACACACCGCCCGUCAAGCCAUGGAAGCUGGGAGUACCUGAAGUCGGUUACCGCAAGGAGCUGCCUAGGGUAAAACUGGUAACUGGGGCUAAGUCGUAACAAGGUAAAU